UAUGGCCAUAUCAUGUUGAAACAUUGGUUCUCAUAAGAUCACUGAAAUUAAGCAACAUCAAGUUUGGUCAGUACUUAGAUGGCUGACUGCUUGGGAAUACCAAGUGUUGUG